rnacentral:rRNA from 1 species
UACGUAGGGUGCGAGCGUUAAUCGGAAUUACUGGGCGUAAAGCGUGCGCAGGCGGUGAUGUAAGACCGAUGUAAAUCCCCGGGCUUAACCUGGGAACUGCAUUUGUGACUGCACGGCUAGAGUGUGUCAGAGGGGGUAGAAUUCCACGUGUAGCAGUGAAAUGCGUAGAGAUGUGGAGGAAUACCGAUGGCGAAGGCAGCCCCCCUGGGAUAACACUACGCUCAUGCACGAAAGCGUGGGGAGCAAACAGG